GAAAAUCAUCCUCCACCACCCAUUAACAUGUCAGUUGAGCUCGAGCUUCUAUUAUCUUUUCUCCUUCUCAUUGUCUCGUUCUUCUUCAUCUUUUUCUUUAUCACUGGAAGCUCCAAAUCUGAAAAAUCUAUAUCUACUCACCUCCCAAAAUCUUACCCAUUGAUCGGUUCUUCUUUCGCUUUAAAGGCAAACUUCGACCGACGAAUUCAAUGGACGUCGGAUAUUCUCCAAAGCAUUCCUUCUGCAACAUUUGUCCUCCACCGUCCUAUGGGUCACCGCCAGAUCUUCACCGGGAACCCAACCAACGUGCAACACAUACUCAAGACUAACUUUCACCACUACCAGAAAGGCUCAUUUACUCGACACACUCUCUUCGAUUUCCUUGGCAAUGGCAUCUUCAAUGCCGAUGGUGACACCUGGAAAUUUCAAAGGCAAGUUGCCAGCCACGAAUUCAGCAACAGGUCUCUGCGUAAAUUUGUUGAGACUGUGGUCAAUACGGAACUCUCUCAACGCUUAAUUCCAAUCCUCUCCAUUGCGGCUGCCAACAAAACAGUGCUCGAUUUGCAAGAUAUUCUUCAGAGAUUUGCUUUUGACAACAUAUGCAAAAUCGCUUUUGGGUAUGAUCCCGCAUAUUUGUUGCCAUCUCUUCCACCCGCACAGUUCGCAGAAGCUUUCGAAGAGAGUACCAGGAUAAUCAGUGCCAGACUCAAUCGCCCAUUCCCUAUAAUAUGGAAAAUCAAAAAGCUUUUCCGUGUUGGAUCUGAAAAACGUCUCCAAAAAUCCAUGUCUCAGGUACGCGAUUUUGCCAUGAACAUCGUCAAAGAGAAGAAGGAAGAACUCAAACAGAACUCAUCCCUCGAAUCAGUUGAUCUCUUGUCGCGAUUCUUAAGUUCUGGCAUUUCCGACGAGACCUUCGUCACUGAUGUUGUCAUCAGCUUCAUAUUAGCCGGUCGUGACACCACAUCUGCGGCUUUAACGUGGUUUUUCUGGUUAAUCUCGAAAAACCAACAUGUAGAAACUGAAAUUCUUAAAGAAAUACAGGAGAAAUCGAACGUAGCCAUUUUCGAAGAAGUGAAGGACAUGGUAUACACCCACGCUUCCUUGUGCGAGACUAUGAGGUUGUACCCUCCAGUUCCUGUGGACACCAAAAUAGCAGUUAGCGAUGACGUUUUGCCUGACGGGACGUGGGUGAAGAAGGGUACUAGAGUCACAUAUCAUCCAUACGCGAUGGGGAGGCUAGAGACCCUAUGGGGUCUGGAUUGGGCUGAUUUCAAGCCAGAGAGGUGGCUACAAGAGGGAGAUGGAGUGAAGAACAAAUGGAGUUUCGUUGGGAGAGAUCCCUACACCUACCCGGUGUUUCAAGCUGGGCCAAGGGUUUGUUUGGGGAAAGAAAUGGCCUUCUUGCAAAUGAAGAGGGUGGUUUCUGAAGUUCUGAGCAGGUAUAAGGUAGUGCCAGCAGCGGAGCAUGGUGAGGAGCCAGUGUUUAUUUCUCAUGUCACCAGUAAGAUGAAGGGUGGCUUUCCGGUGAGGUUCGAGGAAAGAAGUAAAUGAUUAAUCUUGAAUGAAUGAUGAAAAAUUGUUGGUUUAGUAUAAUUAGCUGCUUCUAUUACAGAAGAAAAAUUCAUGUCCAUAGUGUUUUUCUAAUUGCGGAGUACUGCAAGUUUGUAAGAAGCAACAUCAAUAUAUUUACUUGUAUAUAAUUAUGUAAUAAAUUAAAAGAAGAAAAUUUUUCAUAAAAAAUUAAUU
rnacentral:misc_RNA from 1 species